rnacentral:tRNA from 1 species
GGCUUCAUAGCUCAGUCGGUAGAGCAAUGGACUGAAAAUCCAUGUGUCACUGGUUCAAUUCCAGUUGAAGCCACCA